rnacentral:rRNA from 1 species
UAGGGAAUCUUCGGCAAUGGACGAAAGUCUGACCGAGCAACGCCGCGUGAGUGAAGAAGGUUUUCGGAUCGUAAAACUCUGUUGUUAGAGAAGAACAAGGACGUUAGUAACUGAACGUCCCCUGACGGUAUCUAACCAGAAAGCCACGGCUAACUACGUGCCAGCAGCCGCGGUAAUACGUAGGUGGCAAGCGUUGUCCGGAUUUAUUGGGCGUAAAGCGAGCGCAGACGGUUUCUUAAGUCUGAUGUGAAAGCCCCCGGCUCAACCGGGGAGGGUCAUUGGAAACUGGGAGACUUGAGUGCAGAAGAGGAGAGUGGAAUUCCAUGUGUAGCGGUGAAAUGCGUAGAUAUAUGGAGGAAUACCGGUGGCGAAGGCGGCCCCCUGGACAAAGACUGACGCUCAGGUGCGAAAGCGUGGGGAGCAAACAGG